rfam:Schistosoma rodhaini strain Burundi genome assembly, scaffold: SROB_scaffold0004013
AGCUUUCUGAAUCCAUGAAGAAAUUUCGUCAGACAUCAACCCAUUAGGGCUGACCAGACUUCCAAGAUAAGUGAAGUU